rnacentral:misc_RNA from 1 species
UGGUUGCUAAGAAAGUGCAGGAAAAUACAAGGAAGCAGUGAGAGAGAGGAAAUUGCGAGAUAGGACUUGUCCACUGUAAUAAGCCUUAAAAUCAAAGCCUACACAAGUUAAAGUUUAGCAUCUUUGAACACUUGACAACAAAGGCAACAAAACCGACUACUUGUUCCUUUCUUUCUCUUUCUUUUCCUCCAAUUUCUCAGAAACCAAACAGUUUUUCAUCAAAAAAAGAAAAUCUAGAAAGAGGCACUCACGCAAAACCACGAAGGCAAGGAGAAGGAGCAGCGGAAUCAGUAUUAACAGAAGAUAUAGAAGAUGAACAGAC